CUUUUCUAAAUAUCCGGCUCUAAAGAAUCUGGGUAUGUGUUAAAACAAACAUAACAGAACUUUAAACUAUUACUUGGAACUAACCAACUCAGUUUUAACGUGGUAAAUGCACAAGAUUAUGAGUAUAUAUAAGGCAACAGUAGUAUAUCGGUGUUCAAAAGUCAUAAAUCGAUUGAGAAAAAAAACAAAUCCGGGUUAAAAACCAAAACCGAAGGAAACACAUCAACUAUAAAAGGAAAACAAAGGAACAACAGUACCACUAACGUGCAACAAAAACAAACGUAAACAUACAUAGAAAUGAACUAUUUGAUAACAACUAGCAUCUUUUCGACAUGGUAAAAGACAUUUUAACAAAACAAAUGGUGGGUAUAUAAAAGAAAUUUGAAGAUGCGUUAAUAAAUUAAGGCAACAGUAGUAUAUCGCUGUUCGAAAUUCAUAAAUCGAUAGAGAGAAAAAAAUCCAGGUUACAAACUAAAACUGAGGGAAACGUAUCAAAUAUAAGAGAACUACGACUAACGACGUAAAAAUAUCAAAAGGCAUAUUGAGGUAAAAAUACGGUCUAUACACUAGGACAAGCUCUAAACAAGGAAGGACCGAGAAAUAAUAACAUGGUAUUCAAUUAUUUAAAUCAUUCAGUGUUAAUUUUGUACCACAUUUUACUGUCUAAGUGUAAAAAAGAAAAUGUUUGGGG
rnacentral:lncRNA from 1 species